GUACCUUUUUCAGUCUUUUGGCUAAAAUAAAGUGUAAUAUUUGUUCUUAUCAAUUUAAUAUCUGGUAUGUGGACUAUAUGUUCACUUUCAUACUCCCUCCAUUCUUUUUAUUUGUCGUCGUUUAGUUCAAAAAUGAACUAGCGGGCGACAAAUAUUCAAGAAUGGAGGAAGU
rnacentral:snRNA from 1 species